UCUGACUUCUAUAGAGUAUUGUGCCCUCUCUCCCUCAGAUCUUUUCGAUGUUUACCAUAUAUGGAUACACAUGGCACAUAAGAUUUUUAAUUUAUGCAUUAAGGUUUGAUUCUCUCUUUUCUUCUUCUUCUAUAGAAUAAGCACGACUACAAAGUCAAUAAAAAAUCGGUACUUUCUUUUCCGAGACGGGCGAGUAAUAUUGGGAGUAAAAACGAAGUGAUUUUUUCACUACAUAAACGAGGUAAAAAAGUUUUGAGUUUUAAAUUUGUAGUUGAAUCAAUCAGUUAUACUUCUUCGUAAUAGAAGGGCGUUUACUAGAGUUCUCGACCAAAUAAGCACGACAUGUCUCCUUUGGGACAUUGACAGUAUAAGAAGUCAUAAAAUGGAGAAGGUGAUAUUUUUGCAUUUUAGAAAAACUUUUUUUUCAAUGCUAUCAGUACGUCUACGGCUUGGCCUUCCUUCAGAUGUCAAUCUGUGAAGGUUAAACUCGUAUGUUGCAGAAGAUCACUCACCUUGGUUGCACCACAUUUUUAUGGAAGAAAGACAUUUGCUAUCUGUUUGAUCUUGAUUUUUUUGGUCAAUGGUUCAGCUCUAUGACUUUUUGUAAAGGCCUUUAUUUAUAGGCAAAUUGGUUAUGUGGCUGUAGGAAGGUAGCCCGGGGCUUCAGGUGCAUAGGUUUAGUUCUCUAUGGCUGAAUGUAAUUAUACCAAACCAAACUCUUUGCUCUAA